rnacentral:rRNA from 1 species
UACAGAGGUCCCAAGCGUUGUUCGGAUUCAUUGGGCGUAAAGGGUGCGUAGGUGGCGCCGUAAGUCGGGUGUGAAAUUUCGGAGCUUAACUCCGAAACUGCAUUCGAUACUGCGGUGCUUGAGGACUGGAGAGGAGACUGGAAUUCAUGGUGUAGCAGUGAAAUGCGUAGAGAUCAUGAGGAAGACCAGUGGCGAAGGCGGGUCUCUGGACAGUUCCUGACACUGAGGAGCGAAAGUGUGGGGAGCGAACAGG